rnacentral:misc_RNA from 1 species
AAGUCGUAACAAGGUUUCCGUAGGUGAACCUGCGGAAGGAUCAUUAACACGUAUCCAACGUUAAAAACCCCGUGAACCUUUAUUCGCCGCUCCCAUGGCUCAGUCGCGUAAAGCUAGCAAUCCCUGUACUCGUCCGAGAAAUGAAGGAGAAGGGACUUCUGGCAGUGCACCGUGGUUUCAGAGCGCUUGGUUAGUGGCUUGUUUUUCCCCAAGCAAUCAGUGGGUGACAGUGUCAUUGAUUGUGUAAGGAUUUCGCUUAGCGAUCACUGGAGGUCGAUUCCCUCCCCAACCCCACUUCCUAUUGCCGCUCCGCGCUAACAACGCCGGGCAUUUAAAAACGUACUAAACAACUGUUAAUGUUAACAAUGGAUAUCUUGGUUCUC